rnacentral:lncRNA from 1 species
CACUCAUGACUACAAUGCUCGGGUUUGCCAAGGUCAGGUGCAUGCAUUCCUGUAAGCAGACAGCUGUCAGCAGAGUGUUUCGAAAGAGCCGCACAAAAGCCCGGCUUAGAGAUGCGCUAAUGACAGGGUGGCAGGGACUGCGCCUCUAAUGCUAAACGAGCUUCGCCCAGCAGAAUUGUUUGAGCGACGGGACCUGCCUGCAGGCAGAAUGCGGGAAAGCUGCCUGUUUUCUUCUUUGUUAUUUUGUCAAACUAUCGAGUACAUCCAUGUGAGAUAUACGCACACAUGUGUGUGUAUACCAGGAAACCUUACAGACACGACUGGCUUGUACAGCAAGGCAUGGUGUCUUCAAGGAAACAUGGCAUCUUGCAACAGCUGGAAGAUGAUGGAAAGUCACCUGUUGCAGCCUCACGUCCUGCUGGAAAUGCCUUCAUGGGACAGGCAUCUAUAGAUCAACCUCUGUAUAAGAUGAGGAGGGUGCUACCGGCAUAAAGCAAGGGGUGACUGAACUCCAUGAAGCCAAUUGAUGGGAAAGGAGGGAGGGCAUGAGCGAUCCAUGGUGUCCCAACUGCAAGUAGAAUUUCUAUUUCUUUCUCUCUGAAAUGGCUUAUUGCUCUCAUUCCCUCCCCGCCCCUGCUGAGAGAAAGGUGCAGGGGACCGGGAGAUCUCUGCUGCAUCUGAUUCCCCCUGGAUUGGCUGGCUUUUUGCCCACAGGGGGGCAUUUGAUUUUAGCAAGGAACCUCAGGCAGAAAGAUGGGGGGGGCGGGGUGCAGCAGGAGAAGCCGCUCGUGUGAGCAAGAAAGCAGCCAAUCCAGGGUGGGAGGGAUCAGAUGCAACAGGGACCCUCAGGGUCCCUGGACCUUUUUCCAACAAGUGCCCAUUGCAAGGGUCUUACACACACACACACACACACACACACACACACACACAUGGAUUUUGCAGCACCUGUAAAUAGAAUUUGCAAAUUUGUGCAUUUUCCCCCUUGGAUGCCUGGGUCCCGAUUCUUUCUGGUACCAAGCACCAUCCCUGUUUUCACCUGCAGUCUUUGCAUCCUGAGGAAUCCUGAUGUUCCUCAAAGUUCAGGCCAAAUUUUCAUCUGAGAUUCUCUGUGGUAAUUUAGUGGGUGCGCCAUUCUUCACCAACAAUUAUCAUAAGGCCAGGUAAUAAUAUCAUUUAACAGUCAAACCAGCUGAUAAGCAGAGACUCUGAGUCUAUGAUAU